rnacentral:rRNA from 1 species
UACGGAGGGUGCAAGCGUUAUCCGGAUUCACUGGGUUUAAAGGGUGCGUAGGUGGUUUGAUAAGUCAGUGGUGAAAUCCCCGAGCUUAACUUGGGAACUGCCAUUGAUACUAUUGAUCUUGAAUACCGUGGAGGUCAGCGGAAUAUGUCAUGUAGCGGUGAAAUGCUUAGAUAUGACAUAGAACACCAAUUGCGAAGGCAGCUGGCUACGCGAAUAUUGACACUGAUGCACGAAAGCGUGGGGAUCAAACAGG